rnacentral:rRNA from 1 species
UACGAAGGGGGCUAGCGUUGUUCGGAUUUACUGGGCGUAAAGCGCACGUAGGCGACUUUUUAAGUCAGAGGUGAAAUCCUGGAGCUCAACUCCAGAACUGCCUUUGAUACUGGAGAGCUGAGUCCGGGAGAGGUGAGUGGAACUGCGAGUGUAGAGGUGAAAUUCGUAGAUAUUCGCAAGAACACCAGUGGCGAAGGCGGCUCACUGGCCCGGUACUGACGCUGA